rnacentral:lncRNA from 1 species
UGUGCAACAUUUCCAGAAAUGUACCAGAGUUGUUCGUGAUCAUAACCCCAAAUCAUUGGUACCUCGAUGUUUAGAGGGGAAACAGCAUUGGCUGGGCAAGCUGGGGCAGGGAACGUGAUGAACAGUGGGCUGGAAUAAGUUAACUGGAGGAGGGGAGGCGUCUCAGGAAGGGAGAAUAGCAUGAACAGCAGCAUAGACGUGAGAAUAACCAUCUGGAGUGAUGAACCUAUGCUGAGUAGAAAGUUCCAGAAGGCUGCAUAAGGGAGGUGUGUGAACAGCAGAAGCAGGACAAACCUGAGAUGGGAGAAGAUGGCUAAACUGAAGCAACUUGGAGCUAGAAGAUAGGCUGCAUCUGCUCAGUUCACCUGCGCAGACCAAAAACAGUGCACGCUGUAGGCGGCCCAGUCCAGCUGAAUUUCAUCAGAUGGGCAUGUGUUUCCUUCCCCAACUGCUGGCCUCAGCUUCUCAGAAGAAAGGACAAAGGACAGAACUGCUGCUGAGCCAAGGAAUCAGAGCAGAAUCCCAGCACACUGGCUCCAGGAGAGCCGGACGUCCCCUAGGCUGCCCACCAACCAGGAUGAAAAUCGAGACAUCAGAGCCUCUGUCAUUUAUAUGGUCCCCUAGCAGUGCCCUGGGCCUGAAUCCUACAAAGCUGGUCCUUCAGCUGGGAGCCAUAUUGCUUCAAUUUCAUGCUCCAUCACAAGAAAGAGUCAUUCUCUCAAAGUAUGAUCCUUACUUUGGAAUUAGAAAUGCAAGUUCUCAGGCCUCACCCAAGACCUACUGAAUCUGCAACUCUAGGGGAGGGGCUCAUCAAUCUGGAUUUUAACGAGAGCUGGUGGCAAAUGUUGUUUAGACACAGUUCACCCUUUAGACUACUGGAAAUUCUAGUCUAGUCUUUAAUCUCUGGAGAAAUCCAAGAACAGCCUACAUCCUUUUCAGAAUGAUCAAAGAUUGACACCAAAGUGGGUUUUUAUUGUGGUUGUUUUGGCAGACAUGGUAUCUGGAGAAGAAAACAAAAAAUGAAAAGAAUUUUUUUACUUGACAUUUGCUGGCAUUUUCAUAGUUACUGAGCAUGAAAAGAAAUAAACCAUGAAGCCCAUGACAGUGAGUGAACACACGUUUUUUCAAAAUGUCUUGCACUAUCAAAUCAAUCCCUCAAUCAGCUUGCUUUUGAGUUUAAUCGAGCCAAGGCAGUAUUAUUGUAGCUGUCACAAAUUUUAUGGGUUUUUUUCCCCCUUGCCCUGUGAAGCUGGAACCAAUUGUUGUUAUAAAGAGACUAAAUAAAAAAGGUCCUGGAUUUCCUGUUAUUACAGAUCGAUUUUUUGAGAUUCUAGAAUAUCAUAUGGGUUUUUUAUAACAUAAUUAAAACCAUGUGAAA